AUGGAUCCCUACAAGCACCGGCCGACGAGCGGGGCCAACGCCGGCUACUGGACCACCAACUCCGGCGCGCCCGUCUGGAACAACAACAACGCCCUCACCGUCGGCCAGCGAGGACCUAUCCUCCUUGAGGAUUACCAUCUGAUUGAAAAGCUUGCGCAGUUUGACCGGGAACGUAUCCCUGAACGUGUUGUUCAUGCGCGGGGAGCCAGUGCCAAGGGGUUCUUUGAGGUGACUCAUGAUGUUUCUCAGCUCACUUGCGCUGACUUUCUCCGGGCUCCCGGGGUUCAGACCCCAGUUAUUGUCCGGUUCUCUACUGUUGUGCAUGAGCGUGGAAGCCCUGAGACCUUGAGGGAUCCGCGUGGUUUUGCAGUGAAGUUCUACACCAGAGAGGGUAACUUUGACCUUGUUGGGAACAACAUGCCUGUGUUCUUCAUCCGAGAUGGGAUGAAGUUCCCUGACAUGGUCCAUGCUUUCAAGCCAAGUCCAAAGACCAAUAUGCAGGAGAACUGGAGAAUAGUUGACUUCUUUUCGCACCACCCGGAGAGUCUGCACAUGUUCACCUUCCUCUUUGAUGAUGUUGGCAUUCCACUCAACUACAGGCACAUGGACGGUUUUGGUGUCAACACCUACACCUUAAUCAGCAGGGAUGGAAAGGCGCACCUCGUUAAGUUCCAUUGGAAGCCUACAUGUGGUGUGAAAUGCCUCUUAGAUGAUGAAGCCGUUACUGUUGGAGGCACCUGCCACACCCAUGCCACAAAGGACUUGACUGAUGCUAUUGCAGCUGGGAAUUACCCAGAAUGGAAGCUUUUCAUUCAGACCAUUGAUGCUGAUCAUGAGGAUAAAUUUGACUUUGACCCUCUUGAUGUCACCAAGACCUGGCCAGAGGACAUCAUCCCACUGCAACCAGUUGGACGGAUGGUCCUGAACAAGAACAUUGAUAAUUUCUUCGCAGAAAAUGAACAGCUUGCUUUCUGCCCAGCAGUCACUGUCCCUGGAAUCCACUACUCUGAUGAUAAGCUGCUCCAGACAAGGAUUUUCUCCUACGCUGAUACCCAAAGGCACCGUCUUGGCCCAAACUACUUGAUGCUCCCCGUGAAUUCCCCGAAAUGUGCUCACCACAACAACCAUCAUGAUGGCUUAAUGAAUUUCAUGCACAGGGAUGAGGAGGUGAACUACUUCCCUUCAAGGUUUGAUCCUACCCGUCAUGCUGAACAGUACCCUAUCCCUCCUCGUGUUCUAUCUGGCUGCCGGGAGAAGUGCAUUAUCAAGAAGGAGAACAAUUUCAAGCAGGCUGGCGAGAGAUACCGGUCCUUCGACCCUGCCAGGCAAGACCGUUUCCUCCAGCGGUGGGUUGAUGCCCUCACGGAUGCUCGCGUUACCCAUGAAAUCCAGGGCAUCUGGGUCUCAUACUGGUCACAGUGCGACGCAUCCCUCGGGCAGAAGCUGGCGUCGCGGCUCAAGAUGAAGCCGAACAUGUAG
rnacentral:rRNA from 1 species